AAUCCAUAGGUUAAUGAGGCGAACCGGGGGAACUGAAACAUCUAAGUACCCCGAGGAAAAGAAAUCAACCGAGAUUCCCCCAGUAGCGGCGAGCGAACGGGGAGGAGCCCAGAGCCUGAAUCAGCAUGUGUGUUAGUGGAAGCGUCUGGAAAGGCGCGCGAUACAGGGUGACAGCCCCGUACACAAAAGCGCAUGUGCUGUGAGCUCGAUGAGUAGGGCGGGACACGUGGUAUCCUGUCUGAAUAUGGGGGGACCAUCCUCCAAGGCUAAAUACUCCUGACUGACCGAUAGUGAACCAGUACCGUGAGGGAAAGGCGAAAAGAACCCCGGCGAGGGGAGUGAAAAAGAACCUGAAACCGUGUACGUACAAGCAGUGGGAGCACCCUUUGGGUGUGACUGCGUACCUUUUGUAUAAUGGGUCAGCGACUUAUAUUCUGUAGCAAGGUUAACCGAAUAGGGGAGCCGGAGGGAAACCGAGUCUUAACCGGGCGUUAAGUUGCAGGGUAUAGACCCGAAACCCGGUGAUCUAGCCAUGGGCAGGUUGAAGGUUGGGUAACACUAACUGGAGGACCGAACCGACUAAUGUUGAAAAAUUAGCGGAUGACCUGUGGCUGGGGGUGAAAGGCCAAUCAAACCGGGAGAUAGCUGGUUCUCCCCGAAAGCUAUUUAGGUAGCGCCUCGUGAAUUCAUCUCCGGGGGUAGAGCACUGUUUCGGCUAGGGGGCCAUCCCGGCUUACCAACCCGAUGCAAACUGCGAAUACCGGAGAAUGUUAUCACGGGAGACACACGGCGGGUGCUAACGUCCGUCGUGAAGAGGGAAACAACCCAGACCGCCAGCUAAGGUCCCAAAGUCAUGGUUAAGUGGGAAACGAUGUGGGAAGGCCCAGACAGCCAGGAUGUUGGCUUAGAAGCAGCCAUCAUUUAAAGAAAGCGUAAUAGCUCACUGGUCGAGUCGGCCUGCGCGGAAGAUGUAACGGGGCUAAACCAUGCACCGAAGCUGCG
rnacentral:rRNA from 1 species